UAGAGAGAGACAUGCGCGCAUAUCAAUAAGCGGAGGAAAAGAAACUAACAAGGAUUCCCUUAGUAACGGCGAGUGAAGCGGGAAGAGCUCAAAUUUGAAAUCUUCAAGGUUUUACCUUGACGAAUUGUAGUUUAAAGAAGUGUUUUCUGCUGAAGUUUUGGUAAAAGUUCUUUGGAAUAGGACAUCAUAGAGGGUGAGAAUCCCGUAUUUGACCAUUAUUUUCAGCUUUGUGAUACACUCUCAAAGAGUCGGAUUGUUUGGGAAUGCAGUCCAAAAUGGGUGGUAAAUUUCAUCUAAAGCUAAAUAUUGGCGAGGAGACCGAUAGCGAACAAGUACCGUGAGGGAAAGAUGAAAAGAACUUUGAAAAGAGAGUUAAACAGUACGUGAAAUUGUCAAAAGGGAAGCGUUUGACACCAGUGUUGUUUUCUCGAAAAUCAAUUAAAAAUGGCUCGAUUUUGUAUUGUUGAGACCUUAAAAGCUCACUGUACAUUUUUCGUGUCUUUUUUUAAUGCACUUUUCGUUUAACAAGUCAACAUCAGUUUCUUUUGUUGUAAAAGGGUCAUUGGAAGGUGGCUUUCUUUUCGGAGAAAGUGUUUAUAGCCUUUGGCCUCUGCAAUCGGACGAGACUGAGGUCUGCAGCGUAGACUCUUCGGGGUUAGAUACAUUUGUGCUAAGUUAUAGCUUUUUAUAGACAACUUGUUGACUAUAAUUAGUCUUGUAGCUUACUCGCUUAUGCUAUUUUACCUACGCUUAGGAUGUUGAGUCGUAGAGCACGCAG
rnacentral:rRNA from 1 species